GUAACACAUGCAAGUCGAACGAUUCUUAGGUGGCUUGCUAUCUAAGAAGAGUGGCGAAUGGGUGAGUAACACGUGAGUAAUCUGCCCUCGAGUGAGGAAUAACUUCGCGAAAGCGAAGCUAAUACCGCAUAAUAUUCUGGAGAAUAAUCUUUCAGAAUUAAAGCCUUCGGGCGCUUGAGGAUGAGCUUGCGUCCUAUUAGCUUGUUGGUAGGGUAAUGGCCUACCAAGGCAAUGAUGGGUAGCCGGCCUGAGAGGGUGUACGGCCACACUGGGACUGCGACACGGCCCAGACUCCUACGGGAGGCAGCAGUGGAGAAUUUUGCGCAAUGGGCGAAAGCCUGACGCAGCGACGCCGCGUGGAGGAUGAAGGCCUUCGGGUUGUAAACUCCUGUCAGAGGAGAAGAAAGCCCUUCGGGGUUUGACGGUAUCCUCAGAGGAAGCCCCGGCUAACUACGUGCCAGCAGCCGCGGUAAAACGCAGGGGGCGAACGUUGCUCGGAAUUACUGGGCGUAAAGGGUGCGUAGGUGGCUGAGAAAGUCGAAAAUGAAAUCCCGAGGCUUAACCUCGGAACUGUUUUCGAAACUACUUAGCUUGAGGAUAGUUGAGGAAAACGGAAUUCCCGGUGGAGCGGUGAAAUGCGUAGAUAUCGGGAGGAACACCUGAGGCGAAGGCGGUUUUCUGGACUAUUCCUGACACUGAGGUACGAAAGCUAGGGUAGCAAACGGGAUUAGAUACCCCGGUAGUCCUAGCUGUAAACGAUGGGCACUAGACGUUUCUGUUUUAUUAUGGGAGUGUCGUAGUUAACGCGAUAAGUGCCCCGCCUGGGGACUACAGUCACAAGGCUGAAACUCAAAUGAAUUGAC
rnacentral:rRNA from 1 species